GUCACACGUGCCCUGGCCUCUGGAGCUCAGCUGCCAGUCCACGUCUAGGGAAUCUUAGCAUCUGGGACCAAGACACUUUACAGCAAUCAUCACCCUUUGCAGAGGAGGUGAGCUCACCAGGACUCAUCUGCCAUUUCAGACCUUUUGCUGCUACCUGCCAGGUGGCCCCCACUGCUGACGAGAGAUGGUGGACCUCUCAGUCUCCCCAGACUCCUUGAAGCCAGUAUCGCUGACCAGCAGUCUUGUCUUCCUCAUGCACCUCCUCCUCCUUCAGCCUGGGGAGCCGAGCUCAGAAGCUGUACAUGUGAAUUAUUUUUUAAACUUGGAAAAUCAGACAAGCAAAAAUGAGAAAAUAUCUAUUCUCAUCAUGCAGAAAUUAUCACCAUCAGCAAUUUGAUGUCUCCUUUCAGGUAUUUUUCUCUGCACAUUUAUGCAAAUACGUAUGUUUUUUACUUAAGAUAAUAUUCUACAGAUUAUUUUGACACUUGCUUUUUUGAUCAAAGAUUCCAUUUCGCUUAAUGCCUUGGUCAUAUUUACAUAAUUGUCCCCAAAAUAACAUUUGUACCUGGUUGGAUGAAACCAGUUACCAGCUCAGCACCACAAAUCUGGUUGUGAUGUCACCUGUGUAUUUGUUUAAUCGUGCACUCAACGUUUUUUCGUAAAAAUUACUUGUUCAAGGAUCUAGGCCAGUUGUCCUGUAGAGUAUCUCACCUUUCUUGUUUUUAUGGUUUACUGUAGAUUCCUCAGCUAUAAAGGGGUGUGAUAACUUUUUUAAAAAUUGGAUGAGGGUUGCUUUUGCCUGUUCUGACUUGUCAUCCUAGAGGUCAAGGUGCUAGGCCCUGAGUAUCCCAUCCUGGCCCUCGUCGGGGAGGAGGUGGAGUUCCCGUGCCACCUAUGGCCACAGCUGGAUGCCCAGCAAAUGGAGAUCCGCUGGUUCCGGAGUCAGACCUUCAAUGUGGUACACCUGUACCAGGAGCAGCAGGAGCUCCCUGGCAGGCA
rnacentral:lncRNA from 10 species